UGAGUACGGAAACCCAGUUCGUCAGACAGACGAAUAUGGUAACCCAGCCCGCCAUGGAGGUACCAUGGGUGAUUAUGGAACCACUGGCACUACUGGAGCCUAUGGUGGCACAGCUGGAGCACAUGGGACUUAUGCAACUGGAACCACCGGCACUACCGGUACCGGUGCGUAUGCCACCCAGCCUGGCACUGAUGUGGGGAAGGAGCACCAUGGCCUUGGUGGCAUGCUUCAUCGCUCUGGUAGCGGUAGCUCUAGCUCGGUAUGCCCUCCUAAUUAAUCUCGUCUUGCUUAAAUUGUACUGAGUUGUAGUAGCAUUUAACAAAUCUUGACCAGCUUGUGAUGACUGGUAAUUAAAAAGUUCUUAUCUGUUUUCUUUUUGUUUUUUCGGUUGGGAUGCAGUCCGAGGAUGAUGGGCAAGGCGGGAGGAGGAAGAAGGGGAUGAAGGAGAAGAUAAAGGAGAAACUGCCUGGCGGUCACAAGGAGGCUCGACCUGGACAAGAAUAUUCGAGUGCUACUACAGCUCCUGGAUACGGCGGGGAAGGAGAGCAGCACGAGAAGAAAGGAAUUAUGGAUAAAAUCAAGGAGAAAUUACCAGGGGGUCACAACAACUGAAGAUCUAAUUCUAAUAAUAUGGGAUCCAAUUAUGAUAUUGUGUACCCCUAUUUUCAAUCUCAAUCUCAAUCUCGUUCGUGUCAUGUUUGUGUUUUCUGAGAUUUGAGUGUGUGGACGUCUUGAGUUUCUGUAAUUGGAAUAAAGAUGAUGAUGAUGACUCUGUAGUGUGUUUGUCCGUAUAUUCGGCGUCUUGUACUCGGGUCAUCUGGUCAUGUAUGUAUGUAACAUGUUAUGUAUCAAAUACGUGAAGUUUUGCGUUACUUUAGCGUGUGAUCGCUUGUAAGUUGUAAGGAUUACGACUCUGGUCGCAUCUAUUCUUUUUUGUCUCCUCAAACCAUAAUGCGCUAACACGAGCAGUGCAAACAAGAUUUCUUAUUAGCAAUAUAACCAGUAGUAACUCAACCCCUCAGGACCUUGAAGUCAGUAGAGUAGUUGUAGGCUCUUGUAAUUGUACACCAAUAUCUCCAAAGUUUCCAACUUCACUAUAUAUUAGUUCCUUGAUCCAAUACCAAAACCAAGCAAGCAAAUGCCACACAGAAAAUCGGGACAGGGACAAGAUAUGGACCUAGCAAAUCAAUAGACUCAGUUCAGAGGUAUAUGCUUGCAUUUGCGUGGCCAAUCAUCAUUGUUUUUUUUUUUUAAUUUUUUUUUAUCAUUUUUUUCGCCGCUGGGGAUGUAUGAUGGUUUGUUGACGAGGAACAAAUCAGAGAAAGGGUAACACCUUAGCAAACACUCGUGUUUGCUAAGGGGAAAAAGACACCAAUUUCAGUAACAGUGAUUGCAACUUUUCUUGGCAUGCGGCAAUUCUUUCAGCCCCAAGGAGGGGGGGAAAAGUGUUAUCCUUGGACUUCACCUUUAGGCCAAGCAGGGUACACCUAAUAUUCAAGGAACGGUUAGUGACAAAAUGUGGCUGAGGGCCUGAGACUCGAUACGUCAGGGGAUCCAAAGCAGACCAUAAGAACCAGGCAAGAAUAUCAAUUUUACUAGAGAUGCGAAACCCGAGGAGAGAAAGAAACGACAUAAGGUCCUUUUGGAGAGUAUUAUCACAGAUGUGAAUGUGAUGCGAUGCGACAAAAAAAGUGAAUGUGAUGCGGCUUCAGAGUAGAAUAUCGUGUUAGAUUGCAGAGGCGAUGAACCACCAUCACAUCAUUGACUCUUUAAGUAUACGCUAUAUUUACCUGGAUUAUCUGGGAUUAACACACGAUAGUAUCACAAGCUUACUUCCAGUUCUGCCCCAACAAUGAAAGAAUCCAAACGGGGUUAAGGCUCAACCUACUGAAAAGAAUUCAAUGUUCCGGGAUAGGGGAUUCUCUUACUGAGGCCCAAAUAGAUUGGCUCUUUAAGUAAUUAUCUCAACCCUAACAAUUAAGAAUGUCUAGGCAUUUUCAUUGCUACCGUGGUUAACCCCAGGAUUCCAACUUCAAUCACCAAAAAUCACCACAGGAGCAUAUUCCUUUCCGGAAAUGGUGGAACCUCAAGUUAUCCCUAACAACUAUCUCCCUGCUCGUGAGCUGAGAUGCUCUGCUCAUUACAGAGUGGCAGUCCUCACAUAUUCUCAGGUUCUUGGUGAUUCUGAUAACACAAUUAGCACUUGUAGUUAGCAGGGAAUACGCCAAAGCGAGCUUUUCACUAUGCGUUAGAAGGAUCCGCUCCUUUUCUUCAUCACUUACAUCAUAAGGAGCAGAACUUAGUAUUGGCUGAUAGCCAUGGACCUUUAGUCUCUUAAGAAGAUCCUGUAGUGUCUGCUUAAUCAAUUUAGACUCUGGAUGAAUCGUGUCAUCAGAAUAGAAGUUGUGAAGUCCCCCAUUUUCAUCUUCAACCAUGCUAAGUGAAGGAGUUUUUAUUAAACGUUUUGCUCUUAUCAACUUCCUUACUCUUGAAACAUCUUCCCACCUUCCAGCUGAAGCAUAGAUAUGGGAAAGCAAGACAUAGUUUCCAAUACCAUCAGGUUCAAGUUGAAACAGUUGCUUAGCAGCUAUUUCAGCAACCUUAGGAUUUCUAUGAAUUCGGCAAGCUCCUAGCAAGGCUCCCCAAAUGCUGCCAUUGGGCUCUAUUGGCAUCGUUUGAAUAAGUUCCAGUGCUUCUUCCAGUCUUCCAGCUCUGCCAAGGAGAUCAAUCAUGCAAGUAUAGUGGUCAACAGACGGCUUAAUACCACAACCAUUCUUCAUCAUUCCAAAGAAAUGCUGACCUUGUUCUACCAAGCCUGCAUGACUACAUGCGGCAAGGACCCCGACAAAAGUCACCUUAUUAGGCUUCACCUCAACCUUCAUCAUCUUCUCAAACAACUCUAUUGCUUCUCUAGCACAUCCGUGCAUUGCAAACCCACCAAUCAUUGAACUAUAAGAGAAAACAUUUCGAUCCUUCAUACUCUCAAAAACCUUAAAUGCAUCCUCCACACUCCCACACUUCGAGUACAUAUCAAUUAAUGCCGACCCAACAAGGACAUUAUCCGUAAGUCCAAAUCCUGACUUCUCUGCAAAAUCCCGGACCCAAUUUGCGUACUUGAUUGCACCCAAUUGAGCACAAGCUGAAAUAACACUAGACAAGGUCACUUCAUCCGUGUUUACCCCAGAAUUCUGCAUUUUCUCAAAGUACUCUAACGCUUCCUUAGGCUGAGCAUUCUGUGCAAACCCUGUCACCAUCGCGGUCCAUGCCACCAUAUCCUUCACAGGAAGCCUAUCAAACAACUCGCUUGCCGCCACCAUAUCCCCGCUCUUCGCAUAUGCAACGAUCAAAGCUGUAAAAGAAAUGACGUCCCUCGUGGGCAAUUCAUCAAAUACCCUCCUAGCAAAAUCCAAGCACCCACAUUUUACAUACAUAUCAAUCAACGUAUUUCCCACAAAUAAAUCCUGGACAAACCCACCAAUCUUCAAGCUUUGCCCAUGAAUUUGCCUGCCCAAAUCCACAUUCAACACGCCAGUACAAGCCUUCAACAAUGCCGUAAAAGUAAAUGAAACGGGCAAAAUAUCAUCCCUCCUCAUUUGGCCAUACAAAAAUACGGCCUUUUCUAGUGGCCCCUGAACAGAAUAACCGCGGAUAAUUGCUGUAUAGAGAAAAGGGUUGGGGCAAUAUACCUGGCUGAAGAUCAGACGGGCGUAAGUAUCGAUGGGGGUAUUGAGUUUGCAGAGCACCCGAACGAGUUUUGUUAGGAGGAAGCUGCAUUGGUCGAGACCUUUUCUGAUGAUAUGAGCGUGGACUCUCUUGAUUUCUGUGAGACUAAUGCAGGAAUCGAGGAUUGAGACGAGCUGGGCUUCUAGAAGCUUUGUUUCUUGAAGCUUAGAGACGGGAAUGAAGGGUUCUUGGAGGUCCAGAGCUGGAGCUUUCGGUUCGUAGAAUUGGGGGAUGAGAAUUGCAGGGCGUCUAAGGGUUUUAAUCAGCUUCUUGGAAAGUGAAACCAUCACAUAUUUUGCACAGAAUUUGUGGACUAGAAGUGGCCGUUUGGGGAUGCAGAAGAGAGUGAAUUUUGUGUUGGCGCCAAAUAACAGCAAUCUGUUGUUAAAUUUGAGAGUAAACAAGAGGGUGUAGUCGUCAGCGCAAGGUAGUGAAGAAUUGACGCUACUAAUUGCCAAACCAAUUUUCUUUUUCUUUUUAUUGUUAUGCUUAGAUAAUAUGUAGAUAAUGAAAACUUGUAAUUUAUCUGCAUGAAGCAUAAUGAUUAUUAUAUGUUUACUUCAACAAAACUAAAGUUGUGAUAGUAAAAUAUUUGAAAAUUUUUUUUUUAAAAAAUAUUAUAACACUUUUUUUUUUUAUAUGAAGUAUGCGACAUAUAAGAAAUAAUAAAAAAAAAAUGCGUUAAUAAUGCCCAUAAAUACAAACAAGCCCAGUUCCGUAAACAUCUUCAAAACGUUGUGAAGAUAUUUAUAUUUCUGAGUUGGAUGCGCUUUAAACGGUUUAAUAAACCAACCACCAAAAAGAUAAAGGCCUCAUGAAAAAGACAACCAUAUAUAAGUUACUCGUGCAACAAAUGUUCAUCAUCGGGGCCUGUUUAUGAUAGUAAUUGGUAAAAGAAGAAAAGAACAGGAAAAUUUGCAGAGGGAAAAGGAGGUUAGUUAAUUAGUAGGGGCACUAAUCAUAUAGCAAAUAAUCGGCUUUCAUAUGACUAACCAACAUCAUACAGCAUAUAUAUAUUUUGACAAACCUACUAAUGAUGUACAGCUCAAACAAAAAAAUACCAAAGGUUUUCACUACCAUAAUGAGCAGCAGCAGAUUAGUGUGCUUUCUGGUGUGCCUUGACGUUCCGAAGCACAUCCUUCAGAACCGCUGCAAUUCUUUGCUCCAUAUGGCGUUCUAAAAACCUUUCUUUCACCCUCUCAUAGCCUCUCUUCCCCAUCGUCAGUCUCCUUUCAACAUGAGUAGCAAGUUUAACCAUAUUUCUCGCAAGAGGCAUUACUCCCUGUUUCCCUACCGGAUGCAGAAGACCUGUUGAUCCAUUCACCACAAUUUCUUGAGUGCCACCUGCUGCUGUUCCCUGAAAAUCAAGCCAUAAUCAAGCAGUCAUAAGAUAACCUAUACUCUGAAUCAACCGAAUGUCCUCAAGAAUAUAGAAGAGCUAAAAUCUCAUGCAUUUUUUACUGGAACAGAUGUCAGAGAUUCAGGGCAACCAUACCAGUACGGGUAACUGAAAUGCCAUGGCUUCAAUUGUUAUCCUCCCAAAGCACUCACCUCGUGCCUACAUGGAGGGAUGAGGAUGUAGAUAUUAGUACCGACACCGAGACCGAGAUCAAGAUACAUUUCACAAACACCCUAAAAAAGUCGUACAAAAUAGCAGACAAACUUGUUUCACAAUGAGAUUUUUAAAUUGUUAACAAAUUCACAACUAUGGUUCUCUUUGAGUCCUCCCUUAAUUGCAUGACGUCAUUUGUAGAAUUCAAAUCUAACAAAAGCAUGUAGAAUCACAUGCUCAUGGGUUGCAAAUCAAACAGGAAUAAAAUUUUUGGGAAAAUAUAUCUACACUAUAUACUGGACUCAUCUUUCAUUUGAAAUGAGAACUUAAUUUUACCACUACUGGACCCAUAUUUAGGCAAAAGGGAAGAGGGGGAAAUAAAAACAUCAAAAGUGAGCUCAGCAAUUGAAGUUCUAAGAAUGCAAUAAGUCGGCUAGUGUAGCUUUUCAACUGCCCAGGCAAAAAGGACCCACGAGAGAAAAAAUCUUUCCAGUGUUUGGUGCAAAAGGAAAAUGCGAUCAAAUUGACCUUUUACUACUUUUGCUACAUAGAACGUGCCUUUUUUGUGCAAUUUAUGACAUUAAACCGAAAAAGCUUCCAGCCAGCCUUCUAAAUAUUUGAAUAGGUUUUUUUAUUAAAUUUGAUUGGCAAUGGCAUGUUACAAUGUUCAGUAAAACAUACAGAACUUACAAAAUAAUAAUUAGGAACAGGUCACAAUUCCAAAUAACUUUCUCCUAUCUAGGACAUGGUGGAUAUGGUUUUUCUAACAAUUUUUUAAGAUUGUCGGCCGUGCAGUUUCUCUAAAUUAUACAUGUAUUUGGAGAAAAUAAAUAGAUAACAAAUACUGAAUGUGCAUGGGGGCAAAAGAACGUAAAUUGCAGCCAGAGAUUUGCAAAGUUAACAGCGGCAGCAGAUAAAAAUGAUUUACCUGAGAAUUCUGGACAAGAACAUCAAUUGCAGCAAGAUAAGGAGCUACAGCCAGAGUCUUAUUAACGAAAUGAACAUGACCCUGAAUCUUUUUAGAUUCAACAAAGGCCCUCAGCUCAGACUCAAAUUUGCUUUGAGCAUUUACAUCACUCCCCACAAUUGCAGCGUGUAUAGGUGGCACUUGUAGCUUCUGGUGCUUGAUGUAUAUUAGGCUCUCGUGAAAAGAAUUCAGAAACAAAUCUUGUCCUUUUCCACGAGAAACACCUACAGCAUUACAACCACCAAACCAUCAAACAAAAAUAAAAAUAAAAGCAUGAAUAUUUACUUAGCAAGUCUUAUAAGCAGAACAGACAAAAUAUUCACUGUCGGUGAUUUGCAAACAUCAGUACAACCUCCUCAUACAAAUAUGCCAAUAAGUAAAAAGAUCAUUUAUACAUAGAAGACUUGCAAAAUGAAGAUGCCCAAUAAAUCAAGUUAAGCCAAAAAAAAAAAAACUGGGUGAGUAUUCAUGAUUCUGAUCCUUUCAGGAAUCAAGCAUACUUGGUUGACGACCUCACUUACGGAGGCACCUCUGCAUUUGGUGGAAAGUACAAGACUAAUAUGCAAGGUGAGGAUCACAGGACUUAAAUCUUGACAAAAAUCAGGAAAGCUCACAGAGGGAGGGAAGCUGAAGCGACUGUUGAUGUGCAAGAAUUGAUAGAUGAUGAAUGUGAAGAAGAUUAUCAGACUUUCCUUGACCAUUUAAACUUUAAUGGCGAAAAAAUGGUUCUGAAAUACAAAAAGUCGAUGCCUUAUAUAUGACGGGGAACUAAAUGUCCAAACUCAACUCCGUGCAGUGUGUGUGUGUAUAUAUAUCCUUAAUUAUGAAUGCAACAGGAAGAAAAAUUCAUCCUAACGUGUCUAAAGCUCAUGAUUUCUUCUUAAUUUACCACAGCAGUUGUUUAAAUACAAUAUCAAGUCAGUCUCUCAAACAAGCUUAAAAACUCCAAAAAACAUUGUGGAACAACCUCCCCUAUACUAAACCAAAUCUCAAAUUCUUCUCACAAAAACAGCCCCCAGGUUCAACGGAAGCAUAAGGACCCCAAACAACCUCCAAAAAAA
rnacentral:lncRNA from 1 species